AGUGAACGCUGGCGGUAGGCCUAACACAUGCAAGUCGAACGGCAGCACAGUAAGAGCUUGCUCUUACGGGUGGCGAGUGGCGGACGGGUGAGGAAUACAUCGGAAUCUACUUUUUCGUGGGGGAUAACGUAGGGAAACUUACGCUAAUACCGCAUACGACCUACGGGUGAAAGCAGGGGAUCUUCGGACCUUGCGCGAUUGAAUGAGCCGAUGUCGGAUUAGCUAGUUGGCGGGGUAAAGGCCCACCAAGGCGACGAUCCGUAGCUGGUCUGAGAGGAUGAUCAGCCACCCUGGAACUGAGACACGGUCCAGACUCCUACGGGAGGCAGCAGUGGGGAAUAUUGGACGAUGGGCGCAAGCCUGAUCCAGCCAUACCGCGUGGGUGAAGAAGGCCUUCGGGUUGUAAAGCCCUUUUGUUGGGAAAGAAAAGCAGCAGGUUAAUACCCCGCUGUUCUGACGGUACCCAAAGAAUAAGCACCGGCUAACUUCGUG
rnacentral:rRNA from 1 species